GCUGAGGGCUGGUUUCAACAUUUAAAGACAACAUGAAAUGGCUCCUAGAUAUUACUUCCUCAAAGUGGCCUUUUUCCAAGAAAAGUGCAUUUUAGGUGAAGGAAAACCAUAGGAGGAAUCUUUUUUUUUUCCAAAUGGUUUAAGGUUAGCCAGGCAUCGCCAGAUGAAUUGGUCCCAUUAGUCUGGAAGCUCUCCGUACAUCACCCACGGGGGUCAGACCAAAGCGCUUCUGGACGCAAUUGGACAGGCCUUCAUCCAAUCAGAGCACCGGAACAGAAUGUUGCAGCUCUGCAUCUGUAAUACCGUGUAUCUGGGCAGCUUU
ensembl:lncRNA